ensembl:lncRNA
GGGCAGCAACACACGUUAAAUCAAAGCCCACAGAACUAAGCCUAAGGAAUGGACGUUAACUUACAAACGCAAGCAGGGGUAUUUUAUAUAUAUAAUAAUUUGUCCCUCUUUUCUCCCUGAUUAAAUGGACUGUUCGUGUGGCCAAGAAAAGGGGAGCUGUGCGGGAUGUGUGAGCGCAGCGGCAGCGUCCGACACACUGCAGAUGUGCCGCAGCGGAGCCGGAGAGCCGAGAGGACGAAGAGAGCACCGGAGCGCCGGCGAUCCGCAGUGACUCCUCUACCUCCCUCCCGGACCCUCUCUCCCUCCCUCCGUCCCUCCCGCACCCAGGAGCUCCCGCACUUCGCCCUGCAAUGAUGAAACGCGGCGCGUGAGAAGGAAGACUUCAGAGAACAGGAACACUGGGAAUCAGAUAGCCGGCUGUCCCAGUCCUGUUGCAUCAUGGGAAAUAUCACCAGUAGGAACGGCCACCAAGCUACAGGGUCGUAUUUGGAUUUAUUCCACACCCCCCCGACAUCCCCGAUUCUUCCAGACCUCCCCAGGAUGCCUCUCUCUCCUUCCUCGGAUCCAGCGCAGAACGACGGGACGACGGCUGGCCUGGCAAGGAGGCCUGGAAUUCCGGAGGACUCUGCAGAAGAAGGGAAAUCCUCUCAAGGCUCAGCUGUCAAGUGGGCUGUGGCUAGUCCAGAAGGCAGUCCACGACCCAGCGAAACAGGAAAUAACAUGGACAGUGGGUGGGCUCUGGGAUUCUCAAGCAGCCGCAGCACGCCGCCCAACCUGGUGUCAUGCAACAUUUACAGCGAUAGGACCUUCAGUAGCCUGGGGUUGCCCCCUGCCCUCAAGUCCCCAUCGGAGCAGAGCUCCCAGGGUUGGGACAGUGGACUGGAGGGUACGGUAAACUUGCCUGGAGAUACGUAUAAUGCUGGGGUGGAAGAGGAGCUCCCACAGUCUGCACUAUCUCUACUGCAGCACUACAGGGGCUCCCUGAGAGGGAAUCUAGGACUGGAGGGGACAGCCAGCGUGACAGACGUGCUGAAGCAGCUACUGCAGGAGAGGGAGGACCUUCUGCAGGAGGUGCAAACUCUGAAGAGCACUUUAGAGACACAGACACGCACUCUGUCACGCGAAACAUAGGGGCCUGGGACGGCUGGAGCCAAGCGCAACGUCGUUCGUCCGGAGACGAGGGAUGAGGCGAGUUCUCGGUGUUGGGGACAGGCGAAGGGUCGGUCGAUCGGCGGUCAGGGUCAGAGCGAAGCUCCGUGGACGAGGUCAGGGGACUUAGUGAAGGGUCGGUCGAACGGCAAACGGGACAGGAACGAGGAUCCGUGGACAUGGGAAACGAAGCAAAGAGUCAAAAACCGGAGGACGUGAACGAAGAGCUAGCGAUGCUUGUGAACGAAGUGUCCCUGACAAGAUUCCGCAAAGGUAUGGAAGUUGUGGAGUGUCUUUUAAAGGGUAGGUGCUGAACUGGAGUCAGGUGCUGUUGAUUGAGUUGUGGGCGUGGACGUGACACACACACACACACACACACACACACAGGACAAUUUAGAGUCACCAGUUAACCUGAAACACAUUGCUGAACUGUGGGAGGAAAGCAGAGCACCUGGAGGAAACUCGUAAUCACGAGAACACAAGGACUUCACACCGAUUAGGCGGGAAUGGAACCCAUGUCCGAACCCUAACCCCAGCAGUUGUUAGUCACCAACGCUACCUGCUGUGCAACUAUAUAAUCAAAAAAAAACUUUAAAGAUUUGGACUUGUGUAAUACUAAAUACUGAUGCCCCCUGAAUCUUAAAAAUAAAUGUUUUUGUAUUUGUUGUACUAUCA